rnacentral:rRNA from 1 species
CCGCGUGGGUGAAGAAGGCCUUCGGGUUGUAAAGCCCUUUUGUUGGGAAAGAAAAGCAAUCGAUUAAUACUCGGUUGUUCUGACGGUACCCAAAGAAUAAGCACCGGCUAACUUCGUGCCAGCAGCCGCGGUAAUACGAAGGGUGCAAGCGUUACUCGGAAUUACUGGGCGUAAAGCGUGCGUAGGUGGUUGUUUAAGUCUGUUGUGAAAGCCCUGGGCUCAACCUGGGAAUUGCAGUGGAUACUGGGCAACUAGAGUGUGGUAGAGGGUAGUGGAAUUCCCGGUGUAGCAGUGAAAUGCGUAAAGAUCGGGAGGAACAUCCAUGGCGAAGGCAACUACCUGGACCAACACUGACACUGAGGCACGAAAGCGUGGGGAGCAAACAGGAUUAGAUACCCUGGUAGUCCACGCCCUAAACGAUGCGAACUGGAUGUUGGGUGCAAUUUGGCACGCACUAUCGAAGCUAACGCGUUAAGUUCGCCGCCUGGGGAGUACGGUCGCAAGACUGAAACUCAAAGGAAUUGACGGGGGCCCGCACAAGCGGUGGAGUAAGUGGUUUAAUUCGAUGCCACGC